rnacentral:lncRNA from 1 species
AGGUACAAUUUUAGAGAUACUCCUUUCAUCUGAUUCUCAGACUAUGGUGAUUCCGUGGAUAUCUCGAAUCAGUGUGCUAUCUCCGUGAUUACCGACCCAAACACCGAGCUAAAGUAUAUGGAGCUGAACUAUCUAUAUCCAGUCUGAGGCCCAUCUGGCACGUGAGCUUCCUCCGUUACCUCAGUCAGCCAGUUUCUAGCACGCACAUUAGCUGUCCAUCCUAAAUGGAUAAGCUCAGAUGUAACUAACUCCCCAUAAUCUCGUGAGAAAAAUUUAGGGCUAGAAAAUCUCACCCACAAUUGCACGUCUAAUAGCCCAACAACCUCCGAGCUGUACGUUCUCACGGUUGUUCGACUAUGUUCUUUAUAAAUAACAAAAGCCCC